rnacentral:tRNA from 1 species
GGUCUUGUAACUCAGAGGGAGAGUGCCACUUUUACAAGGUGGAAGUCGUAGGUUCGAGUCCUAUCAAGACUA